UACAGAGGGUGCGAGCGUUAAUCGGAAUGACUGGGCGUAAAGCGCGCGUAGGCGGUUAUACAAGUUGGGUGUGAAAUCCCUGGGCUUAACCUAGGAAUUGCAUUCAAAACUAUAUGACUUGAGUGAAGUAGAGGUGAGUGGAAUUUCCGGAGUAGCGGUGAAAUGCGUAGAUACCGGAAGGAACACCAGUGGCGAAGGCGACUCACUGGGCUUUAACUGACGCUGAGGUGCGAAAGCGUGGGGAGCAAACAGGAUUAGAUACCCGUGUAGU
rnacentral:rRNA from 1 species